CCCUUCUCCUACGUUCAACCAAUUCUGCUUUUGAUUUCAUCACUACCGUUGUGAUGAAACCCUAAAUCUCAUCUCUGGGCAUGUUUGAGAUUCCUUUUCCACUUCUCCUUCUUCAAAAGUCCUUUUCAAAACAAUAAGUAAGAAAUUCUUACUUCUCCAUUUUGACUUAUUGAAGGCAUACUUGAAGCUAGAAGAACUUAUUUUAUGGUGUUUGGCCUUUUCUCUUCAAAAGAACUUCUCAGUGCAUGUUUGGAAUUCAUUCUCCUUCUCAAAAGGAAUUUUGGGGCUAAAAGGACUUUUGAAAAGGAAUCCCAAACACCCACUCUCUUCGAUAAAAAAUAACCUGCUACCAACCUUGAGAACGCCUACAUUUGAAGAAAACCCCAAUUCUGUAUUCGAUUUCAUUAUUACCCUUGUGAUGAAACCCUAAAUCUCAUCUCUCUUCGAUAAAAAAUAACCUGGAACAUUGCGGGGUAGUUAUGAAGAUAACAGAUUCAAGUCAGAGUCUAAGAAGCUUCCUCUUAAGUCCAUUGACUUUCUUGCAGGGUCGGCGCAAACCCAAUUAUUCUAAAGCUAGGGCUUUAGGCCCCCAAUCCAAUAGGGCCCCAUUUUAUAAAAAAAAAAAAAAAAUUAUUGAUGUAUUUUGAGCCCAAAGUCUAUGAGCGAUCGGUGAUCAAUAAAUCUGAGAGGCCAGAGGCGGAAGAAAAAACUAAGUUAGAACACAUCAGUUAUGGGGCGACCGAUGGUAUUCUGGAAUCUGGAUGAGCCAUUGAGCGAUCCGCGACUAAUGGUACUCAGCUAUGGUCCGACCAACGUCUUUCUUUUGAUUAAUUAAUGUUCUUGAACAAUGAAGAUGGUAUUCGGCUGAAGCCUAGGUAGUGAUUUGCUUCAGGCCCAAAAAAGGUCAGGCCAGCUCUCUUGGUAUUAUAGUUGGACCCAAAUUAGAAAAGAAACUCAAGUACACACAAGAAAUUUGAUCCGGUUAAUAUUAGUAAAAGAGCUUGUAAAUGCAAUUGCCAACGUACUUGCCUUUUGUUACUUUCCAUUUUUCACAAUUGGCCACCAAUUGCAACACAAUUGUAUGGGAUUUUCAACAUUGAAGUUAUCAAACAGUUGUUUCUCUUCUACUUUCUUUUUAAGUAAAGGUGGCAAAAUGGUGGGUUGAGUAGCAGGUCAAAACGAUUCAGGUUGAAACGUGUCAUGUUUUAGCACGUGUACAAACCACAUUGGUUGGGUUGACACACAAACACUUCCGGUACAUUUCUUAAUUUUUUUAGAAAAAAGUUUGUGUUAAGUAGGUUAUAAAAACCGUAAUAACAAUUAAAUAAAUCUAUGAAUAAAACAAUUUAGGAGGUUUCAUACGUUAGAAAUAACUCUUGGACGACUUUCAACCUAAUUAACUCCUUUUUUUAUUUUGACCUGGUUGAGAUAACACACAAUCUGAAUCGACCCUUUUAUUCAGAACAUCGAUUUACAAAAGAUGUUAGUUCAGACCCGUGUAUCACACGGGUAACUAACCUAGUCUAGUCAAUACAACUGUAAUGGGUAAAGUUUGAAACAACAACAUCUAGUGAAACCGGUGGCUACCACGAAAGCUAUGUAAUGAUCUUUGCUUAAUACACAACACAUUUAUUCCUUA